rnacentral:rRNA from 1 species
AGUGAACGCUGGCGGUAGGCCUAACACAUGCAAGUCGAACGGCGGCACAGGAGAGCUUGCUCUCUGGGUGGCGAGUGGCGGACGGGUGAGGAAUACAUCGGAAUCUACUUUUUCGUGGGGGAUAACGUAGGGAAACUUACGCUAAUACCGCAUACGACCUACGGGUGAAAGCAGGGGACCUUCGGGCCUUGCGCGAUUGAAUGAGCCGAUGUCGGAUUAGCUAGUUGGCGGGGUAAAGGCCCACCAAGGCGACGAUCCGUAGCUGGUCUGAGAGGAUGAUCAGCCACACUGGAACUGAGACACGGUCCAGACUGCUACGGGAGGCAGCAGUGGGGAAUAUUGGAAAAUGGGCGCAAGCCUGAUCCAGCCAUACCGCGUGGGUGAAGAAGGCCUUCGGGUUGUAAAGCCCUUUUGUUGGGAAAGAAAUCCAGCUGGCUAAUACCCGGUUGGGAUGACGGUACCCAAAGAAUAAGCACCGGCUAACUUCGUGCCAGCCGCCGCCGUAA